rnacentral:snRNA from 1 species
GCUUCUCACCCUUUUAGCUAAGAUCAAGUGUUGUAUGG